UUUUGCUCAUCGCCCGAGGGGUGCCAAAGGGAAAAGGUUUCCUUCAGCUUCAUCCAAAAACGCAGGGGCGCGUCUCUGGGGGGGGGGGUCUCUUGGCACCUGCGGAUCUCCCCCUAGGCACGUUAACUUGGUGCCGGAUGACGGCCAAUUGCGAGGUUAGAGUGGAUUGCGGGAUCGUGUGGAAAGAAGCAGCACCAUUUCUGGGCAUUGGGAAAGAUGCCUGUUGAAAUGCUGGUUUCCAGGAAGCGGUGAUGGCUGGCAUAGAUGGGGAAUGCGGGCCGCUGUGGGUGAAGCUAUGUGCCUGAACCCCCUAACAGGGCAGAUCCCGUCAGUACGGUGAUGACUGUUUGAGGGGCACUGGUUGCCAAAUGAGUGCUAGGGGGUCUCGUGCUUUAGCCAUGCUGGCAUGGUGUGCUGCACCGACAGAAUCUCUCGCACCAGGAACACGGCCAGAUAUUCGUGCACCAUUUUUACGCCUAAGGAGUAGCUCAUGCAGGAAGCAGCUGAUGCUUUGUUUUUCGACGUACUCAGACAGUCCUGUAAACCUCUUAUUUCCAGGUAGAACUGCCUUACAUCGCGUGACACUUGGCCUGUGACUGGAUAGCCUUACCGCAUGAUCGUGAAGCUCUUCCUCCGCGUCUGCGCUAAUCAUCCAACAUAUGCUCUUCGAGUCUGAAAAUGUGGCGACUUUGGCGUUUGCAUUAUUACGAGGAUGGCCGUGAAGUGCCAUGUGAUCGAAGGUGCCCCGUCGCUUGUGGCUCUGAGAGCUGUGUGUGUGCGCGCCUCUGAAACAUGGGUCGACAAGUCUGAAUGGUGCUGGCUAUGGGCGCAUUGACUCGCAGAUUGUAGUGACGCUGGGUUGUUGCAGGCCGUUUUCAAGAGGGCCAGAUGCUGUAAAGGGCGUUUUUCAGUUCCCUUCAUGCAUGACCCGCGCAGACUGCUGGGGAUUCACAGUCUUUACCAUUUUAUCGAACAAAUUCCAUUUGGCACAAGAGCUGUUGUCGAAGCUUUGAUUUGUGCCUGUGAAUCAUGCGCUGCCCCAGGGAGGGCGCUGUGCUGCU
rnacentral:misc_RNA from 1 species